rnacentral:rRNA from 1 species
GAUGAACGCUGGCGGCGUGCCUAACACAUGCAAGUCGAGCGAACACGCGCCUAGCGUUGCCCUCUGGUGGUAGCGGGGGGCGUAAGACUACCACACGGACCACCUACCUAUAAGUCAGGGAGAACUUCGUGAAAUAGUACCUAAUACCGGCUAAGAUAUUAAACCGGAGGCCUCAAUAGUGAAAGAGGGCGGUGCGGCCACUGAUAGAUGGAUCCGCGCCGCAUUAGCUAGUUGGUAAGGUAACGGCUUACCAAGUCGACGAUGCGUAGCCGCACUGAGAGGGUGAUCGGCCACACUGGGACUGAGACACGGCCCAGACUCCUACGGGAGGCAGCAGUAGGGAAUCUUGCGCAAUGGGCGCAAGCCUGACCCAGCCACGCCGCGUGAGUGAUGAAGGUCUUCGGGUCGUAAACUGAUUUUAUUCGGAACGAACAGCCGUGUAAUAAACCAGGCGCGUCUUGACGGUACCGAAUCAAAAAGCACCGGCUAACUACGUG